UACGUAGGAUGCAAGCGUUGUUCGGAAUUACUGGGCGUAAAGAGUACGUAGGCGGUUUGAUAAGUCUGCUAUUAAAGACCGGGGCUCAACUUCGGGAGUGUAGUGGAAACUGUCAGACUAGAGGACAAUAGAGGAAGUCGGAAUUCUCAGUGUAGCGGUGAAAUGCGUAGAUAUUGGGAAGAACACCAGUGGCGAAAGCGGACUUCUGGGUUGUUACUGACGCUGAGGUACGAAAGCGUGGGGAGCAAACGGG
rnacentral:rRNA from 1 species